rnacentral:rRNA from 1 species
AUUGAACGCUGGCGGCAGGCCUAACACAUGCAAGUCGAGCGAGCGGCGGACGGGUGAGUAAUGUAUGGGGACUGCCCGAUAGAGGGGGAUAACUACUGGCAACGGUGGCUAAUACCGCAUACUAUCCGAUUACCCAUAUGGGAUUAGCUUGUUGGUGGGGUAAAGGCUCACCUAGGCGACGAUCUCUAGCUGGUCUGAGAGGAUGAGCAGCCACACUGGAACUGAGACAGAGGCCAGACGCCGACGGAGGCAGAAGUGGGGAAUAUUGGACAAUGGACGAAAGCCUGAUCGAGCCAGGCCGCGUGAAUGAAGAAGGUGUUAGGGUUGUAAAGUACUGUAGGCGGGGAAGCGGUACCAAAAGAGGAAGCAACGGCUAACUCCGUGCCAGCAGCCGCGGUAAUUC